GACAGAGGGGGCAAGCGUUGCUCGGAAUUACUGGGCGUAAAGCGUGCGCAGGCGGUUUUGUAAGUCAGAUGUGAAAUCCCCGGGCUUAACCUGGGAACUGCGUUUGAAACUACAAGGCUAGAGUGUGGCAGAGGGGGGUGGAAUUCCACGUGUAGCAGUGAAAUGCGUAGAGAUGUGGAGGAACACCGAUGGCGAAGGCAGCCCCCUGGGUUAACACUGACGCUCAGGCACGAAAGCGUGGGGAGCAAACAGG
rnacentral:rRNA from 1 species